UGGGGAAUAUUGCGCAAUGGGGGGAACCCUGACGCAGCCAUGCCGCGUGAAUGAAGAAGGCCUUCGGGUUGUAAAGUUCUUUCGGUAUUGAGGAAGGAGUGUAUGUUAAUAGCAUACAUUAUUGACGUUAAAUACAGAAGAAGCACCGGCUAACUCCGUGCCAGCAGCCGCGGUAAUACGGAGGGUGCGAGCGUUAAUCGGAAUAACUGGGCGUAAAGGGCACGCAGGCGGUUAUUUAAGUGAGGUGUGAAAGCCCCGGGCUUAACCUGGGAAUUGCAUUUCAGACUGGGUAACUAGAGUACUUUAGGGAGGGGUAGAAUUCCACGUGUAGCGGUGAAAUGCGUAGAGAUGUGGAGGAAUACCGAAGGCGAAGGCAGCCCCUUGGGAAUGUACUGACGCUCAUGUGCGAAAGCGUGGGGAGCAAACAGGAUUAGAUACCCUGGUAGUCCACGCUGUAAACGCUGUCGAUUUGGGGAUUGGGCUUAGAGCUUGGUGCCCGUAGCUAACGUGAUAAAUCGACCGCCUGGGGAGUACGGCCGCAAGGUUA
rnacentral:rRNA from 1 species